GAAAUGCGAUACGUAAUGUGAAUUGCAGAAUUCAGUGAAUCAUCAAAUCCUUGAACGCAACUUGCGCUCGUGAGUCCUCUCACGAGCAUGCCUGUUUGAGUGUCGGUUUCCAAUCAUCACCCAUCCCACCCUCGCGGUCGGAUCGGCGUGGAAGCGAAUGGGAGUUGGACGGCU
rnacentral:misc_RNA from 1 species